UAGGGAAUCUUCCGCAAUGGGCGAAAGCUUGACGGAGCAACGCCGCGUUAGUGAUGAAGGUCUUCGGAUCGUAAAACUCUGUUAUUUGGGAAGAACAAAUGUGUAAGUAACUAUGCACGUCUUGACGGUACCUAAUCAGAAAGCCACGGCUAACUACGUGCCAUCAGCCGCGGUAAUACGUAGGUGGCAAGCGAUAUCCGGAAUUAUUGGGCGUAAAGCGCGCGUAGGCGGUUUUUUAAGUCUGAUGUGAAAGCCCACGGCUCAACCGUGGAGGGUCAUUGGAAACUGGAAAACUUGAGUGCAGAAGAGGAAAGUGGAAUUCCAUGUGUAGCGGUGAAAUGCGCAGAGAUAUGGAGGAACACCAGUGGCGAAGGCGACUUUCUGGUCUGUAACUGACGCUGAUGUGCGAAAGCGUGGGGAUCAAACAGG
rnacentral:rRNA from 1 species